AUUCAGGCAUCUAAGAAUGUUCUCUAGGACAUCCCAGAAAGAUGUGAAGGUCCUGAAAGAUUACACGGAAGAAUAUAGAUGAUCAUUUGGCAUCCUUGCUGUGCACCAUAUGUCUCAUUUCAGAACAUGAAACUAUUAGAUGCUUCACCCAAAUUCAUUGUCUGAUCUUCAACAUUCUGGUACAGGACGUACACAGGCGAGCCUCAGUGAAGACCCUGGAGUAGAGGAACAGCUGCAAGCCCCUUCUAAUGCCCUUUUUGGCUGGUAUCAUGGCUUUGCAACAGCAAUUUCACUUACAGUGCCAGCUUCUGGGGUCAGCUGAAAAGAAUCUGAAUGCUGUGACUCAAAGACUAUCUCUGAAAAAAUGUAUGUAUAACUGAACUCUCUGCUUAAACACUUCAGGAACAGCCAUUUUAGGACCUGCUCUUGUUCAGACUAUACUUUAGAGAGAUUCUAAUGCUAAUUUUUGGGAAGCUGGAUGAUCCCUGUAAUAGUCUAGUUUCAAAAUUUGGGGAAAGAAACUUCAGAGGAGCCUAAUUAUGAAGGAUGGGCAUAGAAGAAUUUAAGUAAAAAUAUUAGUAAUCUCCAAUUCUGUUCUUUCCCUUAUGGGCUUUGAAGCAGCCUAAGCAAGACACACCAACAUUCUAUCACACAGUAUCCACGUUUGUAGUGCAAGACUAUCAUUAGUGUGCAACAGAAACAUAUUAACAUCUCCCAUUAUGUUCUGGAGGGCAUCUGAGACAAUCAAUCAUCUUACUUGACUUGUAUGUGCUUGCAAACAGCAUACUUGCUGUUUACUAAGCAAUACGGCUGACUUAUCAUUCAUUGAUAUGCUUUAUCCCAAGUAGGGUACUGUUACAGCAGGCUUGUAAUUCGAUGUUAUUUGUUCCAUCCCUCCUCCUUUCUGAAUUCAGAUGACAUGGUUGCAAGAUGCAUCCAUGCUGUUCCAGAGUAAGAGCAAUAUCCGCAAUGAUCCUCAAGUCCCAUUGAUUUUGCCAGAGCUAUUUAUACUCAUGCUGGACACAUGCUUGAGUAUCUUGCUAAAUUAAGAUGCUAAGCCACUACAGUCACCCAUUACUUUCUUUUAUCCUUGCAUAAAAACACAAAACUUCUUAAAUCUGAUAUUUAAGCAUGAUUUUUAAGACGCAGACAUCUGGGACAGCUUCUAUUAUAAAUGUAUCAUUAAGUAAUUCAGUGACUGGAGUAUUAUGCAGUUAUCCUAGGCAGUUAAUAGAUUUACUCAGCUGGUACGGCAACCCACACAUUACUCUCUACUAACUUCGCAGCUGCUGAGUGAAUGUCAUAAAUCAUUCAUCUCUACC
rnacentral:lncRNA from 1 species